UGGUUCUGGCAUCGAUGAAGAACGCAGCGAAAUGCGAUAAGUAAUGUGAAUUGCAGAAUUCAGUGAAUCAUCGAAUCUUUGAACGCACAUUGCGCCCUUUGGUAUUCCGAGGGGCACGCCUGUUCGAGCGUCAUUUAAACCUUCAAGCCCAGCUUGGUCUUGGACGCGGUCGAGUGACCCGUCCGUAACCCGUUGGCGGUGCAGUCCGGCUUUAAAGCGUAGCAAAAAUUUCGCUUCAGGAGUCCGCGGCAGUGCCUGCCAGGCAACAACAUUCCAAAGUUUGACCUCGGAUCAGGUGAGGAUACCCGCUGA
rnacentral:misc_RNA from 1 species